rnacentral:rRNA from 1 species
UUGAACGCUGGCGGCAUGCCUUACACAUGCAAGUCGAACGGCAGCACGGGUGCUUGCACCUGGUGGCGAGUGGCGAACGGGUGAGUAAUACAUCGGAACAUGUCCUGUAGUGGGGGAUAGCCCGGCGAAAGCCGGAUUAAUACCGCAUACGAUCUACGGAUGAAAGCGGGGGACCUUCGGGCCUCGCGCUAUAGGGUUGGCCGAUGGCUGAUUAGCUAGUUGGUGGGGUAAAGGCCUACCAAGGCGACGAUCAGUAGAUGGUCUGAGAGGACGACCAGCCACACUGGGACUGAGACACGGCCCAGACUCCUACGGGAGGCAGCAGUGGGGAAUUUUGGACAAUGGGCGAAAGCCUGAUCCAGCAAUGCCGCGUGUGUGAAGAAGGCCUUCGGGUUGUAAAGCACUUUUGUCCGGAAAGAAAUCCUUGGCUCUAAUACAGUCGGGGGAUGACGGUACCGGAAGAAUAAGCACCGGCUAACUACGUG